GCAAGGAUGGCGGAAUCGGUAGACGCAUACGUUUGAGGGGCGUAUAGGUUAUUCCUGUGGGGGUUCAAGUCCCCUUCCUUGCA
rnacentral:tRNA from 1 species